GCCGGGAUGGCGGAAUUGGUAGACGCAGCGGACUCAAAAUCCGCCGCUGGAAACAGUGUGGGGGUUCGACUCCCCCUCCCGGCACCA
rnacentral:tRNA from 1 species